rnacentral:rRNA from 1 species
UACGGGGGGGGCAAGCGUUGUUCGGAAUUACUGGGCGUAAAGGGCGCGUAGGCGGCCUGCUAAGUCGGAUGUGAAAUCCCUCGGCUCAACCGAGGAACUGCAUCCGAUACUGGCGGGCUUGAAUCCGGGAGAGGGAUGUGGAAUUCCAGGUGUAGCGGUGAAAUGCGUAGAUAUCUGGAGGAACACCGGUGGCGAAGGCGGCAUCCUGGACCGGUAUUGACGCUGAGGAGCGAAAGCUAGGGGAGCAAACGGG